rnacentral:rRNA from 1 species
GAUGAACGCUGGCGGCGUGCCUAAUACAUGCAAGUCGAGCGAAUGGAUUAAGAGCUUGCUCUUAUGAAGUUAGCGGCGGACGGGUGAGUAACACGUGGGUAACCUGCCCAUAAGACUGGGAUAACUCCGGGAAACCGGGGCUCAUACCGGAUAACAUUUUGAACCGCAUGGUUCGAAAUCGAAAGGCGGCUUCGGCUGUCACUUAUGGAUGGACCCGGGUCGCAUUAGGUAGUCUGUGAGGUAACGGCUCAACAAGGCAACGAUACGAUGACGACCUGGGAGGGUGGUCGGCCACACUGGGACUGGGACACGGCCCAGACUCCUACGGGAGGCAGCAGUAGGGAAUCUUCCGCAAUGGAGGAAAGUCUGACGGAGCAACGCCGGGUGAGUGAUGAAGGCUUUCGGGUCGUAAAACUCUGUUGUUAGGGAAGAACAAGUGCUAGUUGAAUAAGCUGGCACCUUGACGGUACCUAACCAGAAAGCCACGGCUAACUACGUGCCAGCAGCCGCCGUAA